GGUUUGCUCAAUGUUUAGAAUGUCAGCCCAUGGACCUAAGGGUCUCGGGUUUAAUUCCAGGUCAAGGGCAUGUACCUUAGUUGU